UGCAUUGGCUAACAGCUACAUUAACGUAGAGGAAAGUCCACGCUAGCACAAUCUGAGAUGAUUGUAGUGUUCAUGCUGAUUCCAAUAAAAUCAGGCUUAGACGACUAGUGCCACAGAGACGAGAAUUGUGAAACGCGGUAAACUCCAUGAGCUAGAAACCCAAAUUUUGGUAGGGGAACUUUUAAAAGAUAAAUGAAUCUUAAAAAAGAAUCAAAUUUACUUGAUUAGAUAAAUUGUUAGCGCCAUUUAUGGUACAGAACGUGGCUUAUAGAU
rnacentral:RNase_P_RNA from 2 species